UGGCUCUUUGCUUGUGCACAACUUCCACCUGACAUACCUUUUCAUUUGUCUGUUUAGGCUUCAACUGCCUAAAGAAAUUCUGGGUUUCCUGUGUUGCCUACCUAACAUAUGGUAUUGAUUUGGCACAUCUUAGUUCCUUUGUCUUGUGUSAUACUUAUGACAUCAGAUGAACAUUGAAGCUGUCUAUUUGAACCACACCAUUAACAUGUCUGUUGAUGUAGUGGUGCAUUGUGCAUUGCUUGGUCUCUUUGAUAUAGAACCUGAUGUGGGCAUGGGUCUCAUGGGAUCCUUGUUAUGUCCCUGUUUAGUGUUUACGCUCGCUAAAAUGACUGCUUGACUCGCAUUGGCUCGUACCAGCGUGUUGGGUUUUGUCUAAGAGGAAAGUUACCUGGUUGAUCCUGCCAGUAGUCAUAUGCUUGUCUCAAAGAUUAAGCCAUGC
rnacentral:misc_RNA from 1 species